UCGGGAAUCUUGCACAAUGGGCGAAAGCCUGAUGCAGCAACGCCGUGUGAGCGAGGAAGGCCUUAGGGUCGUAAAGCUCUGUUGUUGGGGACGAAGGGCGAAGGGUUAAUAGCCCCUAGCCUGACGGUACCCUUCGAGGAAGCCCCGGCUAACUACGUGCCAGCAGCCGCGGUAAUACGUAGGGGGCGAGCGUUGUCCGGAAUUAUUGGGUUUAAAGGGUACGUAGGCGGGCUAUUAAGUCUGAGGUGAAAGCUCCUGGCUCAACCAGGAAAUUGCCUUGGAUACUGGUAGUCUUGAGUACAGUAGAGGUGGGCGGAAUUCAUGGUGUAGCGGUGAAAUGCAUAGAUACCAUGAGGAACACCGAUAGGGAAGCCAGCUCACUGGACUGUCACUGACGCUGAGGUACGAAAGCGUGGGGAGCGAACAGGAUUAGAUACCCCCGUAGUCC
rnacentral:rRNA from 1 species